rnacentral:misc_RNA from 1 species
ACGAGAUAGGGUUUCUUCGGAGCCCGACCUCCAACCCAUUGUCUAUUAUACCUCUGUUGCCUCGGCGGGCCGCCGACCGUUCCCUUUCGAGGGGCGUCGCCGUCGGUCCUUUUAGGGCUUUCGAGCGCCCGCCGGUGGAUAUACAAAACUCAUUUUUAUAAACCAGUCAUCUGAGUGGGAAUUGAAUAGCUUCA